rnacentral:lncRNA from 1 species
CUGUACGUGAUCAGGGAAGGCUCUAGAGAGCCAAACCCUAGUUCAUCAUAUAUCAACCAAUUGAAGCAUGAAUCGAGGCUCAAAUUCAAGAAGGAACAUGAAUUAACGAUCACCCAAGUUAGGGGAUCAUAAGUGUAUAGGAAUCAUGUCAAGAUGGAUGGGAGCUUUGAAGGCUAACGGGCUAAGAGGACUCAAUCAAGUAAGCGAACGAGAAUACGGACGCGCAAGGCUAUACAUGUUUGGAUGUUUCAUCUAGAAGCGUACGCGGUUGAAGAUCGAGUCAAGACACGGAUUGUAUGUGGGUGUAUACGUAGUCACUUAAUUGAGUCAUGUAUGUUAGUUUUUGCAUUAAAUUAUAAAAGAGAUUAAUGUAUUUAAAUGAAAGAAAGAAUAUCAUGAAGGAAAUUUCUAGUUAUGUAGUGUCCGCUGCGAAUCUUAGGUUAAAGCGU